rnacentral:misc_RNA from 1 species
GAUGAAGAACGCAGCGAAAUGCGAUAAGUAAUGUGAAUUGCAGAAUUCAGCGAAUCAUCGAAUCUUUGAACGCACAUUGCGCCCGCCAGUAUUCUGGCGGGCAUGCCUGUUCGAGCGUCAUUACAACCCUCAGGCCCCCGGGCCUGGCGUUGGGGAUCGGCGGAAGCCCCCUGCGGGCACAACGCCGUCCCCCAAAUACAGUGGCGGUCCCGCCGCAGCUUCCAUUGCGUAGUAGCUAACACCUCGCAACUGGAGAGCGGCGCGGCCACGCCGUAAAACACCCAACUUCUGAAUGUUGACCUCGAAUCAGGUAGGAAUACCCGCUGAACUUAAGCAUAUCAAUAAGCGGAGGA